CAUGGGUUUGGUCAGACGUCCGUGUCUCUGUGAGAUUUGUGGGUUAAGUCUCCACCACGAGCGGCAACACCCUUAUCUUCAGUACCCNCACGGAUUNGGCCUGGGCACUCUAGAGAGACCUGCCAGGGACUAACCUCGGAGGAAGGUGGGGAUGACGUCAAAUCAUCAUGCCCCUUAUGACCUGGGCUACACACGUGCUACAAUGGCGUAGAUACAAAGGGAAGCGAAGACCCGUCGAGGUGGAGCA
rnacentral:rRNA from 1 species